UCUUCGGAGUUGUGGGUGGUCACGAGAUCCCAGACAAGCCCCCAAAUGAAAGACCAUUGGAGUGAGGAAGACCCCCACUCAAAUCUCGAGGCAAUGCAACCCCCCAAGAACUCAUGAGAAACU
rnacentral:pre_miRNA from 14 species